rnacentral:rRNA from 1 species
AUGAAGGAUUGCGGCCAUCUUUUGUGUACUGGACAAAACAAACACGGGAAAAGCCAGCGCUCCCCAGGUCGCUCCCGCGGGCGGCCAGGGAGCGAACCCUGCCGCCGCCGCUCAGUCUCGGCCGUCCGCUCCUCCCCUCACCGCCGCCGGCGGACGUCGCCGGGCGAAGCCCGCGCGGCGGGGUCUACCUCACCUCCGGCUCGGGCGGGGGCGGCGCGGGCCGUCCGCUCCGGCGGGAGCUCGAUGCGGAGCUCGCGCAGAUCUGGCGGGGGUGGCCACGGUCGGGGGGUGGCGCGGCGUGGGCGCGCAAGGCGCGGCGUGCGGCGGGGUUCUCCUCGUCUGGCGGCAGGCGCUCGAGGUGGGGGAGGCUCAAUCCCCUUUCUGUUGCGCGUCUCGGCGGCUCCAGGCGGGACAGUGGCCUCGGCAGCGGCGCCAGUAGGCCUUCGGGGCACGUCCCCGUGGCUCUUCUCCGGCUUGCUGGUCUAUAGCAGCGUCUCUCACGGGUGGCAGCCGCGGUUUGCUUCGUCGGCGGGCUCCGGUUCUUCGGCCGGACGCCCAUCUCCGGCGAGUCGGGGCGGGCGCGGCCCUCCCCUUCCUGCUACGAGGGGCUCGUCUUCGCAAUGGUUGGCAGCGUGCCGGCCUUUGGAGGUCUCUGUGCUGUUGCAGCGGCGGUGGGAUGCUAGAUCUGGCCGUUUUCUGCCGGAUCAGGCUUGGUGGCAUCUUUCUAGCCGUCGGCGAGGUAUGUGGUGGCUUCUACUUGGUCAUGGCACGAUGACUUCGUGGGAGGUGUGCGGGUCAGCGGUGCAGUGCUUCGCGUGUGGGUGUGGUGUUGGAAGGUGCUUCGGGCGAAAGCUUGCCGGAUCUUGCCGGCUGGCGGCGUCGGCGUCCGCGGAUGUCGUGUCACCUCCUUGGAAGCGUCGCCGUGGAGUCCACCCCCUGCACACCCUCGGUUCCAGCUCUUCGGGUGAAAGCCUAAGGCCCUGUCAGGUCGGACGGCGGCGUCGACAUCGUCGCUUCCUUCUUUGGGGUGUCGUCUUGAAGAGCUUUGGAUCCCGUUUGCGCGCUCCAUGGGCUGGACGCUCGCGGCAUUGCGGUCGGCAGGUGUGCGUCCGGCAAUGGUGA